rnacentral:rRNA from 1 species
AGUGAACGCUGGCGGUAGGCCUAACACAUGCAAGUCGAACGGCAGCACAGUAAGAGCUUGCUCUUACGGGUGGCGAGUGGCGGACGGGUGAGGAAUACAUCGGAAUCUACUUUUUCGUGGGGGAUAACGUAGGGAAACUUACGCUAAUACCGCAUACGACCUACGGGUGAAAGCAGGGGAUCCUCGGACCUUGCGCGAUUGAAUGAGCCGAUGUCGGAUUAGCUAGUUGGCGGGGUAAAGGCCCACCAAGGCGACGAUCCGUGGCUGGUCUGAGAGGAUGAUCAGCCACACUGGAACUGAGACACGGUCCAGACUCCUACGGGAGGCAGCAGUGGGGAAUAUUGGACAAAGGGCGCAAGCCUGAUCCAGCCAUACCGCGUGAGUGAAGAAGGCCUUCGGGUUGUAAAGCCCUUUUGUUGGGAAAGAAAAGCAGCAGGUUAAUACCCCGCUGUUCUGACGGUACCCAAAGAAUAAGCACCGGCUAACUUCGUG